GUGGGGAAUCUUGCGCAAUGGGCGAAAGCCUGACGCAGCCAUGCCGCGUGAAUGAUGAAGGUCUUAGGAUUGUAAAAUUCUUUCACCGGGGACGAUAAUGACGGUACCCGGAGAAGAAGCUCCGGCUAACUUCGUGCCAGCAGCCGCGGUAAUACGAAGGGGGCUAGCGUUGCUCGGAAUUACUGGGCGUAAAGGGCGCGUAGGCGGACAGCUUAGUCAGAGGUGAAAGCCCAGGGCUCAACCUUGGAAUUGCCUUUGAUACUGGCUGUCUUGAGUUUGGGAGAGGUGAGUGGAACUCCGAGUGUAGAGGUGAAAUUCGUAGAUAUUCGGAGGAACACCAGUGGCGAAGGCGGCUCACUGGUCCAUUACUGACGCUGAGGUGCGAAAGCGUGGGGAGCAAACAGGAUUAGAAACCCUAGUAGUCC
rnacentral:rRNA from 1 species